GAGUUUGAUCAUGGCUCAGGAUGAACGCUAGCGACAGGCCUAACACAUGCAAGUCGAGGGGCAGCACAAGGUAGCAAUACUGAGGUGGCGACCGGCGCACGGGUGAGUAACGCGUAUGCAACCUGCCUGUAACAGGGGAAUAGCCUCUUGAAAGAGAGAUUAAUGCCGCAUAAUACGAGAUUCGGGCAUCCGGAUUUAGUUAAACAUUUAUGGGUUACAGAUGGGCAUGCGUUUCAUUAGGUAGUUGGUGAGGUAACGGCUCACCAAGCCGACGAUGAAUAGGGGUUCUGAGAGGAAGGUCCCCCACACUGGUACUGAGACACGGACCAGACUCCUACGGGAGGCAGCAGUGAGGAAUAUUGGUCAAUGGACGCAAGUCUGAACCAGCCAAGUCGCGUGAAGGAUGAAGGUAUUAUGUAUUGUAAACUUCUUUUGUCAGGGAAUAAUGGGUGUCACGUGUGACGCAGAGGAAUGUACCUGACGAAUAAGCAUCGGCUAACUCCGUGCCAGCAGCCGCGGUAAUACGGAGGAUGCGAGCGUUAUCCGGAUUUAUUGGGUUUAAAGGGUGCGUAGGCGGUUUGUUAAGUCGGUGGUGAAAGUUUGCGGCUCAACCGUAAAAUUGCCAUUGAAACUGGCGAACUUGAGUACAGUAGAGGUAGGCGGAAUUCGUGGUGUAGCGGUGAAAUGCUUAGAUAUCACGAAGAACUCCGAUUGCGAAGGCAGCUUGCUGGACUGUAACUGACGCUGAGGCACGAAAGCGUGGGGAUCAAACAGGAUUAGAUACCCUGGUAGUCCACGCCGU
rnacentral:rRNA from 1 species